AAGUCGUAACAAGGUUUCCGUAGGUGAACCUGCGGAAGGAUCAUUAACACGUAUCCAAACGUUAAAACCCCCCCCGUGAACCUUCAUCCUGCUCUUGUAACCCGCGUAGUUCGCAAUCUCUGAUAAAUCAUAGCCCGGAAAGUUGUAGUGAUUCAGAGACCUCUGGCUACGUGCGAACAUUGGAACAGUUACUCCUGUAGACCGUACACUCGGGCAGGAGCUUUGCCAAAGGGUCCCCAUGCCCCCUAAUAACCCCACAGUUUAAUGUGAAGCUCAAUGUAAUACAUUGGGUAAAAAAACCGAACAACUGUUAACAAUGGAUAUCUUGGCUCUC
rnacentral:misc_RNA from 1 species